UACGGGGGGGGUAAGCGUUGCUCGGAAUUACUGGGCGUAAAGGGCUCGUAGGCGGCCAACUAAGUCGGACGUGAAAUCCCUCAGCUUAACUGGGGAACUGCGUCCGAUACUGGAUGGCUUGGAUUUGGGAGAGGGAUGCGGAAUUCCAGGUGUAGCGGUGAAAUGCGUAGAUAUCUGGAGGAACACCGGUGGCGAAGGCGGCAUCCUGGACCAAUAUUGACGCUGAGGAGCGAAAGCCAGGGGAGCAAACGGG
rnacentral:rRNA from 1 species